GUCAGCACAACCCAGUGCAUAUGCUCCUGACAAACGCUGGGGACAUCCCCUCCCACCCACCCCCAUCACACAGAGAACGUGACCUCUGCAGGACUGGACUCUGGGAAGGACCCUACCUCCAGGACUCGCCCACAAGAAGAACUGUGAAAGAGCUCCGGAGAAGGAUGAAAACUUUAAGGAACAAUGAAGGAGAGAGGUGCCGCUCUGAACCGGUGAGAAGAAAAAAAAUUACACAGCACACCUGGGACAGAUGAAGCCAAACUAGUGCUUUUAUAAUGCCAAUCAGCUGGGCUGUUAUCAUCCCUCUAAUUAGGAAAGCUGCCUAAAACUGAGUGCACUUGGGGAAAUGGUAAUGUUAUGGUUUUGCACUUAAAAGGAGGCACAUUUCCUGCGCUGUAAGGAUCUGGGAUUGGGGCUGACAAGUCCUUUAAUUAAUGGCAGGAUUCCCUGUGUGUGCAAGUGUGUGUGCUUGUUUUAAUUCAUAAAAGUGGACAAAGGGGUCCAGGAAGGGGAGGGGUGGUGGUGCUGUGGGAAGGGAGGGGAGAACCCAUUAGUUGAAGAUGAGGAACAGAGUUCAUAGCUACAUUCAUUUUUUUUCUUCUUCUUUUUUUUCAAAAAUCCCCAAAGGACUAAGGUGCAGAACUGGAGUGAGUUGUUGUCCCCCAACCCCCGAAUUGGAACACUGCACUGAAUAAAAGCUUAAGACAC
rnacentral:lncRNA from 1 species